rnacentral:tRNA from 1 species
GUGUAGCCCAGUGGUAGGGCAUGUACUUCGUAUGGACAAGGCUCUGGGUUCAAUCCCAAGCAC